rnacentral:misc_RNA from 1 species
GAUGAAGAACGUAGCGAAAUGCGAUACUUGGUGUGAAUUGCAGAAUCCCGUGAACCAUCGAGUCUUUGAACGCAAGUUGCGCCCGAAGCCGUCAGGCCGAGGGCACGCCUGCCUGGGCGUCACACGCCGUUGCCCCCCCGCGCCCCGCACCCAACUCUUUGGGAGCGACCGCGGGGCGGGCUGAUGAUGGCCUCCCGUGCGCUCCGCCGCGCGGUUGGCCCAAAUACCGAGUCCCCGGCGACGUGCGCCACGACGAUCGGUGGUUGAGAGACCUCUGUCGCAAGUCGUGCGCGCCCAUCGCGUCACGCGGGCUCGCAUAGCGCCUCGCGCCGCACCCGGUGCGGAGCUUUCAACGCGACCCCAGGUCAGGCGGGGUUACCCGCUGAAUUUAAGCAUAUCAAUAAGCGGAGGA